rnacentral:rRNA from 1 species
CCUUGGCUUAGCGCUUGUGGGGGUUCGCUUCGAACCGUCUCCUUGCGGGACAAUGUGGGAAACACGAAACUUGACCUCAGAUCAGGUGGGACUACCCGCUGAACUUAAGCAUAUCAAUAAGCGGAGGAAAAGAAACUAACAAGGAUUCCCCUAGUAACUGCGAGUGAAGCGGGAAAAGCUCAAAUUUAAAAUCUGGCGGUCUCUGGCCGUCCGAGUUGUAGUUUAGAGAAGCGUCUUCCGCGCUGGACCGUGUACAAGUCUCCUGGAAUGGAGCGUCGUAGAGGGUGAGAAUCCCGUCUUUGACACGGACUGCCAGUGCUAUGCGAUGCGCUCUCGAAGAGUCGAGUUGUUUGGGAAUGCAGCUCAAAACGGGUGGUGAACUCCAUCUAAAGCUAAAUAUUGGCGAGAGACCGAUAGCGAACAAGUACCGUGAGGGAAAGAUGAAAAGCACUUUGGAAAGAGAGUGAAACAGUACGUGAAAUUGCUGAAAGGGAAACGCUUGAAGUCAGUCGCGUCUGCCGGGACUCAGCCUUGCUUCGGCCUGGUGUACUUCCUGGUGGACGGGCCAGCAUCGCUUUUGGUCGCUGGAAAAGGGCGGGGGGAAGGUGGCACCUUCGGGUGUGUUAUAGCCCCCCGUCGCAUGCAGUGGCUGGGAGCGAGGAACUCAGCGCGCCUUUGGUCGGGGUUCGCCCACGAUCGCGCUUAGGAUGCCGGCGUAAUGGCUUUAAACGACCCGUCUUGAAACACGGACCAAGGAGUCUAACAUGCUUGCGAGUGUUCGGGUGGAAAACCCGUGCGCGAAAUGAAAGUGAAAGUCGAGAACCCUGUCGUGGGGUGCACCGACGCCCGGACCUGAGCUUUUGCGACGGUUCUGCGGUAGAGCACGUAUGUUGGGACCCGAAAGAUGGUGAACUAUGCCUGAAUAGGGUGAAGCCAGAGGAAACUCUGGUGGAGGCUCGUAGCGAUUCUGACGUGCAAAUCGAUCGUCAAAUUUGGGUAUAGGGGCGAAAGACUAAUCGA